rnacentral:rRNA from 1 species
GAGAGAUGUGUGAUGACGCAUAUCAAUAAGCGGAGGAAAAGAAACUAACAAGGAUUCCCUUAGUAACGGCGAGUGAAGCGGGAAGAGCUCAAAUUUGAAAUCUUCAAGGUUCUACCUUGACGAAUUGUAGUUUAUAGAAGUGUUUUCUGUUAGUGGAGUGGCAAAAGUUCUUUGGAAUAGGACAUCAUAGAGGGUGAGAAUCCCGUAUUUGGUCAUUCCUCCUAGCGUUGUGAUACACUUUCAACGAGUCGGAUUGUUUGGGAAUGCAGUCCAAAAUGGGUGGUAAAUUUCAUCUAAAGCUAAAUAUUGGCGAGAGACCGAUAGCGAACAAGUACCGUGAGGGAAAGAUGAAAAGAACUUUGAAAAGAGAGUUAAACAGUACGUGAAAUUGUCAAAAGGGAAGCGUUUGACACCAGUGUUGUUUUUCCGAAAAUCAAUUACGAAUGUUUUGUUUUUGAGGAGUUAUGACUUCAUCGGCUUGCUCCUUUCUUUAUGAAACUUUCUUAAUGCACUUUUCGGUUAACAAGUCAACAUCAAUUUCUUUUGUUGUAAAAGGGUAUGAGGAAGGUGGCUUUCUUUUCGGAGAAAGUGUUUAUAGCCUUGUAGCCUCUGCAAUCGGAGAGAUUGAGGUCUGCAGCGUAGAUCCUUCGGGGUUAGAUACAGUUUGUGCUAAGUUAUAGCUUUUCAUAGACAACUUGUUGACUAUGUUUAGUCUUGUAGCUUACUCGCUGAUGCUAUUUUACCUACGCUUAGGAUGUUGACAGCAGUAUAGACUGU